UACGUAGGUGACCAGCGUUGUCCGGAUUUACUGGGCGUAAAGAGCGCGCAGGCGGUCGUUCAAGUCGAGUGUGAAAGCCCCCGGCUCAACUGGGGAGGGUCACUCGAUACUGAUCGACUUGAAGGCAGGAGAGGGAAGCGGAGUUCCCGGUGUAGUGGUGAAAUGCGUAGAUAUCGGGAGGAACACCAGUGGCGAAGGCGACUACCUGGCCUGUUCUUGACGCUGAGGCGCGAAAGCUAGGGGAGCAAACGGG
rnacentral:rRNA from 1 species